CUAGCACAGCCUAGUGGGGAGAUACACCUGUACCCAUGCCGAACACAGCAGUUAAGCCCUAGAACGCCUGAAGUAGUUGGGGGUUGCCCCCUGUUAGAUACGGUAGUCGCUUAGC
rnacentral:rRNA from 1 species